ACCGGGAUGGCGAAAUUGGUAGACGCACGAGAUUCAAAAUCUUGCACUGAAAAGUGUGCCGGUUCGAUUCCGGUUCCCGGUA
rfam:Candidatus Profftella armatura, complete genome.